CGCGUAGGCGGUCGCGUGCGUCGGAGGUGAAAUCCCCGGGCUUAACCCGGGACCUGCCUCUGAUACGGCGCGGCUUGAGUCCGGGAGAGGGGAGCAGAAUUCCCAGUGUAGCGGUGAAAUGCGUAGAUAUUGGGAGGAGUACCGGUGGCGAAGGCGGCUCCCUGGACCGGUACUGACGCUGAGGCGCGAAAGCGUGGGGAGCAAACAGGAUUAGAUACCCUGGUAGUCCACGCCGUAAACGAUGGGUGCUUGGUGUCGGGGGUAUCGACCCCUCCGGUGCCGAAGCUAACGCAUUAAGCACCCCGCCUGGGGAGUACGGUCGCAAGGCUGAA
rnacentral:rRNA from 1 species